UAUAUUUUUUGACCGUGACUGGAGAGUUUCCAGUACUCUACCAGUCUCAGCUAAGGGAAAGAGAGUCAAGCAGAGGCAUACCCAUUCCAUUCCUAGCUUGGCCAGGGGUUAGCGAGUGGAGGACAAUUUGCUACAAAU